rnacentral:rRNA from 1 species
AACGAACGCUGGCGGCAGGCUUAACACAUGCAAGUCGAGCGCCCCGCAAGGGGAGCGGCAGACGGGUGAGUAACGCGUGGGAACGUACCUUUUGGUUCGGAACAACUCCGGGAAACUGGAGCUAAUACCGGAUAAGCCCUAACGGGGAAAGAUUUAUCGCCGAAAGAUCGGCCCGCGUCUGAUUAGCUAGUUGGUGAGGUAACGGCUCACCAAGGCGACGAUCAGUAGCUGGUCUGAGAGGAUGAUCAGCCACACUGGGACUGAGACACGGCCCAGACUCCUACGGGAGGCAGCAGUGGGGAAUAUUGGACAAUGGGCGCAAGCCUGAUCCAGCCACGCCGCGUGAGUGAUGAAGGCCUUAGGGUUGUAAAGCUCUUUUGUCCGGGAAGAUAAUGACUGUACCGGAAGAAUAAGCCCCGGCUAACUUCGUG